UACAGAGGUCUCAAGCGUUGUUCGGAUUCAUUGGGCGUAAAGGGUGCGUAGGUGGCGCGCUAAGUCAGGUGUGAAAUCUCGGGGCUUAACUCCGAAACUGCAUUUGAUACUGGCGUGCUUGAGGACUGGAGAGGAGACUGGAAUUCAUGGUGUAGCGGUGAAAUGCGCAGAUAUCAGGAGGAACACCGGUGGCGAAGGCGGGUCUCUGGGCCGUAACUGACGCUGAGACGCGAAAGCGUGGGGAGCAAACAGG
rnacentral:rRNA from 1 species